rnacentral:rRNA from 1 species
AACGAACGCUGGCGGCAUGCCUAACACAUGCAAGUCGAACGAGACCUUCGGGUCUAGUGGCGCACGGGUGCGUAACGCGUGGGAACCUGCCCUUAGGUUCGGAAUAACUCCCCGAAAGGGGUGCUAAACCGGAUAAUGUCUUCGGACCAAAGAUUUAUCGCCUUUGGAUGGGCCCGCGUUGGAUUAGCUAGUUGGUAGGGUAAAAGCCUACCAAGGCGACGAUCCAUAGCUGGUCUGAGAGGAUGAUCAGCCACACUGGGACUGAGACACGGCCCAGACUCCUACGGGAGGCAGCAGUGGGGAAUAUUGGACAAUGGGCGAAAGCCUGAUCCAGCAAUGCCGCGUGAGUGAUGAAGGCCUUAGGGUUGUAAAGCUCUUUUACCCGGGAUGAUAAUGACAGUACCGGGAGAAUAAGCUCCGGCCAACUCCGUG